CGGAGGGUGCAAGCGUUAUCCGGAUUCACUGGGUUUAAAAGGGUGCGUAGGCGGCUAUAUAAGUCAGUGGUGAAAGCCCGCAGCUCAACUGCGGAAUUGCCAUUGAACUGCAUAGCUUGAAUCUGGUUGAAGUGGGCGGAAUACAUCAUGUAGCGGUGAAAUGCUUAGAUAUGAUGUAGAACACCGAUUGCGAAGGCAGCUCACUAAGCCAACAUUGACGCUGAGGCACGAAAGCGUGGGUAGCGAACGGGAUUAGAUACCCUGGUAGUCCACGCCCUAAACGAUGAAUACUCGAUGUGUGCGCCUUGAGCGUACGCGUCCAAGCAAAAGCGUUAAGUAUUCCACCUGGGAACGUACGGCCCGACAAGGUUA
rnacentral:rRNA from 1 species